rnacentral:rRNA from 1 species
CAACAGCGUAUAUUAAAGUUGUUGCGGUAAAAAAGCUCGUAGUUGGAUUUCUACCGAAGAUAGCCGGUCGGGUCUUCGACCUUGUAUCUGGUUUUGUCUUUGGUAUCCUCAUAGGGAACGUUUCUGCGCUUUAUUGCGUGGUGCGGUAUCUAUGACUUUUACUUUGAGGAAAUUAGAGUGUUCACGGCAGGCAAACGCCUUGAAUAUAUUAGCAUGGAAUAAUAACAUAGGAUCUUCGUCCUAUUUUGUUGGUUUCUAGGGCUAAGAUAAUGAUUAAUAGGGAUAAUUGGGGGCAUCUGUAUCAACGCGUCAGAGGUGGAAUUCUUGGAUUGCGUUGCGACAAACUACUGCGAAAGCGUUUGCCAAGGAUGUUUUCAUUGA